rnacentral:rRNA from 1 species
GAGUUUGAUCCUGGCUCAGAUUGAACGCUGGCGGCAUGCUUUACACAUGCAAGUCGAACGGCAGCACGGGUGCUUGCACCUGGUGGCGAGUGGCGAACGGGUGAGUAAUGCAUCGGAACGUACCCAGUCGUGGGGGAUAACUAGUCGAAAGAUUAGCUAAUACCGCAUACGUCCUGAGGGAGAAAGCGGGGGACCGCAAGACCUCGCGCGAUUGGAGCGGCCGAUGUCGGAUUAGCUAGUUGGUGGGGUAAAGGCUCACCAAGGCGACGAUCCGUAGCUGGUCUGAGAGGACGACCAGCCACACUGGAACUGAGACACGGUCCAGACUCCUACGGGAGGCAGCAGUGGGGAAUUUUGGACAAUGGGGGCAACCCUGAUCCAGCCAUUCCGCGUGAGUGAAGAAGGCCUUCGGGUUGUAAAGCUCUUUCGGCAGGAACGAAAAGGCGGGCUCUAACAUAGCCUGUCAAUGACGGUACCUGAAGAAGAAGCACCGGCUAACUACGUGCCAGCAGCCGCGGUAAUACGUAGGGUGCGAGCGUUAAUCGGAAUUACUGGGCGUAAAGCGUGCGCAGGCGGUUUUGUAAGACAGGUGUGAAAUCCCCGGGCUUAACCUGGGAACUGCGCUUGUGACUGCAAGACUUGAGUGCGGCAGAGGGGGGUGGAAUUCCACGUGUAGCAGUGAAAUGCGUAGAGAUGUGGAGGAACACCGAUGGCGAAGGCAGCCCCCUGGGUCGACACUGACGCUCAUGCACGAAAGCGUGGGUAGCAAACAGGAUUAGAUACCCUGGUAGUCCACGCCCUAAACGAUGCCAACUAGGUGUUGGGGAAGGAGACUUCCUUAGUACCGUAGCUAACGCGUGAAGUUGGCCGCCUGGGGAGUACGGUCGCAAGAUUAAAACUCAAAGGAAUUGACGGGGACCCGCACAAGCGGUGGAUGAUGUGGAUUAAUUCGAUGCAACGCGAAAAACCUUACCUACCCUUGACAUGCCAGGGAACCCUGCUGAGAGGUGGGGGGUGCCCGAAAGGGAGCCUGGACACAGGUGCUGCAUGGCUGUCGUCAGCUCGUGUCGUGAGAUGUUGGGUUAAGUCCCGCAACGAGCGCAUCCUGUCAUAGUGCCAUCAUUAGUGGCACUCUAAUGAGACUGCCGGGUGAACAACCGGAGGGAAGGGUGGGGGGAUGUG